rnacentral:rRNA from 1 species
GAUGAACGCUGGCGGCGUGCCUAAUACAUGCAAGUCGAGCGAACAGACGAGGAGCUUGCUCCUCUGACGUUAGCGGCGGACGGGUGAGUAACACGUGGAUAACCUACCUAUAAGACUGGGAUAACUUCGGGAAACCGGAGCUAUACCGGAUAAUAUAUUGAACCGCAUGGUUCAAUAGUGAAAGACGGUUUUGCUGUCACUUAUAGAUGGAUCCGCGCCGCAUUAGCUAGUUGGUAAGGUAACGGCUUACCAAGGCAACGAUGCGUAGCCGACCUGAGAGGGUGAUCGGCCACACUGGAACUGAGACACGGUCCAGACUCCUACGGGAGGCAGCAGUAGGGAAUCUUCCGCAAUGGGCGAAAGCCUGACGGAGCAACGCCGCGUGAGUGAUGAAGGUCUUCGGAUCGUAAAACUCUGUUAUUAGGGAAGAACAAAUGUGUAAGUAACUAUGCACGUCUUGACGGUACCUAAUCAGAAAGCCACGGCUAACUACGUG